AGCAGCAGCCACGGUAAUACGAAGGGGGCUAGCGUUGUUCGGAAUUACUGGGCGUAAAGCGCACGUAGGCGGAUACUUAAGUCAGGGGUGAAAUCCCAGAGCUCAACUCUGGAACUGCCUUUGAUACUGGGUAUCUUGAGUAUGGAAGAGGUGAGUGGAAUUCCGAGUGUAGAGGUGAAAUUCGUAGAUAUUCGGAGGAACACCAGUGGCGAAGGCGGCUCACUGGUCCAUUACUGACGCUGAGGUGCGAAAGCGUGGGGAGCAAACAGGAUUAGAUACCCCUGUAGUCCCUGUCUCUUAUAC
rnacentral:rRNA from 1 species